AGAGAGUAGCCCUCUAUGUGGAGUGGGCUCACAAAGUCCAUUUGUACACUAGGGAUAAAUACUGAUCCACUGCCAAAGGCCCCAUAGAUUGUCCAGUCCUCCUAACUGAAACCCACAUUCAGAGGGUCUAGGUGGGUCCUAUGCUGGUUUCCCAGAUAUCAGUCUAGGGUCCAUGAGCUCCCCCUUAUUCAGGUCAGCUGUUUCUGUGGGUGUCUCCAGGCUCGUCUUUGCUCAGUAGCAGCCUUCAUGUGAAAGGGUCAAAAUUCUAAAGACAGUUCUCAAAGAAAGACAAACACACACAUUCCUGAAAAAAAAGUUUAUUGCUAAUCAUUGCAGAAAUAUAACUAAAGCAACAACGAAGCAUUACAAGGUAUCUUAGGACGUCAACACAAAAGAGGCCCUUCCUCAUUGCUAGUGAGAAAGCCAACUGCUUCCUGUAACCAAUAUGGAAGACAUCAUGGAAGUUCUUCAAAGUAGAACAAGGAUACAGUGACCCAACCUCUAAGGUAGCCUCCAGAAGAAAUAAAAUCAGUGGAGAAGUUACAUCUGCAACUCCCUGUUCAGUCUAGUGAUAUCUUCAAUAGCCAAAAUAUUGACUCACCUAUGUUUCCAUAGAUAGAUGAAUGAAUAAAAUUGCGACAUAGAUAGAUGAUAGAUAGAUAAUUAGAUAGAUAGGUAGGUGGAUGAUAGAUAGAUAGAUAGAUAGAUAGAUAGAUAGAUAGAUAGAUAAUCCAUAUACAUGAGCUAAUAUAUUGCAUUAUUAUAUCAUUGUACAUAUUAUUAUAAUAGUAUCCUUCCUUCAAAAAGGAAGAAAUUCUGACAUUUGCAACACAGAUAAAUCAGAAAGAGUAUGAGAGGCAUGCUGCAGGAACUCUGAAGUCACAUAAUCAGGGAAAGGCAUGAGUAAUUUUCAAGAAAUUUCAAGAUCACUGGAAACUGAUGGACCUUAAUUUCAAAAUAAUAAUGCCCAUAUGAAAGACGCAUGGACAAAAAUGGAAGCUAAUUUCCAGUCAGUAUAUUUUUGAAAAUGAAAAACAAAAACCUGUCACCUAAAAAAUGACUUGGAUAGUAGGUCAGACUUGGAAACAGUAAGAGGGGACACAGUGCCAGCAAGCCACUUGAAUAUGAAAACCAACUCUUUUCAGGGGAAUGAGAAACAGACCAGUGUGAGUGCAGAAAGCAGUGGAGGCUGGCACACUCACAGUUUUCCCAGGGGCCAAGUAAGCCUAUCUCUUUGGCAAUACUUUUUGCUUAAUUCUCUCAUAUAUUACAUCCCAACAGCAGUUUCCCCACCUGCCCUUUCCACUAGAUCCACCCCAUCUGCCUCCUCUCAGACAAGAGCAGGACUCCCAGGGACAUCCACCAAACAUGGCAUAAUAAGCUACAAAAAUACCAGGCACAUACCAUCACAUCAAGGUUGGACAAAGCAACCCAGUAGCAAGUGACAGGUCAUAAAAGUAGGCAAAAGUGUCAGAGCCAGCCCUGGCUCCCACUAAUAGGAAUCUCACAAGAACACCAAGCUACUGAGCCAUAACAUACAUACAUAUAUAUAUGCAUGCAUGCAAACAUGCAUACAUACGCACACACACACACACACACACACACACACACACACACACACACACACACACACGCAGAGGACUUACACCCCUGAUUACUUAGAGCACCGAUGAAUCCAGGACUCCCCAAGCUCUGCCUGAUAUUUGGCUGUGAGACUCUACAUCUGCUCCAACAGUUGCUGGAUGAAGUCUCUCUGGUCUUUUUGAGGAGGAUUCUGCUAGGUCCCAGUCCCAGAACACUCCUCAGGCAGGGCAAACUGAAGGUUGAAGGGUUUAUGACUGAGUUGGUGUCCCAAUCACUUCACUUGUGGCCUUGCCUGGUUCAAGAAGAUGGCUGGUUCAGGCUCUGUGUUCCCCCUAUGACUAGGAGUCUUUGCUGGUGUUACUCUUUGUAGAUACCAUAGUAUUUCUAUUGCACUAGGUUUCCACGUCGCCCCGAAAUGCUACCCAACUCCAGUCCUAUCUCCCAGUGUUUUCUAACCCCUCCUACCUGAUCCACCGUGUUCCCAGCCCCACCCACCUCCAGUCCACCCACUGUAUCUAUUCUAUUUCCCCUUGCCAGAGAGACCCCUGUUUCCCCUCUUAAGCUCUUUGGUAAUUCUUGAUUAGGUGAGAUGGAGCUACAUGUGACACAAGCGCAAGUUCUACCGCAAUGAUUAUAAAGCAUGGGAAGAUCAAACAGAGGCAAAAGGCAGUGAGACUUGAGGGCUAGCGCUUUGUCCAGGGAGUGACUUCUCGCUCCACACAACAGCCCUGGUUGCUUUCUUUCUGAAGUCUUUGUUUUAACUUCCCAUCACCCAUCACUAAACGUUUCUUCCUACUGGACAUGGAAAUUUCUCCAAAUUAGUUGGAACAGAACACAUUAGAGAUCGGUAGUUUCAAGAUAAUCUCUUUUGUGUAGAAGAAUGACUCUUAAAUGCCUGGUUUAAAACUAGACAGUAGUGAAAUCCAGUGGCUGUAAAGGGCUUGAUUUCUUGUUAGGUGCUACUGACUGACUUACUCAGUGGUAACUACCUGGUCUGUUUGGUGUGUAGCCUGUGGUAGACAUCGUGUAACUUGAUUGUUCAGAUUAACUGGCAAGUGUGAUGAUUUGACUAGAGCAGGUGGGUUUUUUGUUUUCUGGUGUAUAUGCGAGAGUGUGUGUGUGUGUGUGUGUGUGUGUGUGUGUGUGUGUGUGUGUGAGAGAGAGAGAGAGAGAGAGAGAGAGAGAGAGAGAGAGAGUGUGUGUGUGAUGCAAGCACUCUCUGCCUGAGAAUCUAUUUGGUAAAACAAGGUCCAAACAUGGAGUUCAUGACUAGGUCAACACUCUAUAAGUAUGAAAUGAUGAAAAAAGGAAGAAGUGAUGGAAGAAUGACCCUAGUGAGACCAGCAGUUGGGUAGUGAAAGAAUUUGAAUGAAUUAGAACCAGCCAGGAAAAGUUCAGGUUCAAAUUAGUGGAUCAAUGUAACAGGAACAAAAAGGAAAGGCAGAAGUGAGAUGAAAUGAGACUAGGAUGAGAAAGGCACAUUGUUCCCACAUCCAAAGACAGGGUGACAAACAAGAGAACAUCAGGAAAGGGGACAAAGGCCAGCAAUGGAGGUUGUCCAGGAUAACUCCUGCGCAGCUUGAGUGGGUGUGCCAGAAUUUCUGUGGGAGCAUACCUGUUUUGUUUUCAGUCCCUGAGUUCAUCAGACUCCAACAGCAUCAAACUCUAAUGAUGCUCUGCCUUGUAGAUCUUUUACCCUGGAGUUACAGUGGAGAGGAACUGCAUAUUCAUCUCUAAGAAUGUAGCUUGUAGCAGAGCAACAGUAAUGCUUGCUAAAAGUACAUUGAAUGAUAACAGUGAAAUAGAGCAUUCUUUGGAGUACAAAAGUAGUAUUUAAAUCUCCUCUGUGGGC
rnacentral:lncRNA from 1 species